rnacentral:lncRNA from 1 species
GAGGCAGGCAGCUCAGAGCAGCUGAAGGAGAUAGGAUACUGCAAGCAAGAGGUUGGAGUGAUGUAAAGAAGGGGCUGCGAGCAGGGAAGGCAGGACCCUCCAGACACUGAAAAAGACACAUAAGGAAUUCUUCCCUAGAGCUUCCAGGAGGAACGCAGCCCUGCCCGACACCUUGAUUUUAGGCUCUCAUGGCAUAGAAGCACCAAGAGAUGCCCCAGGGAUUUCUCCAGACUGCAGACUACUUGUCCCAUUUAGGUAGUGACAAUCCUUAGAUACUCAUGCUAUUCAGGUCAAUUACUACCACCAGUGGAAGGUGUGCCAAUGACAAGGAAUCCUCAUACACCUCCUGUGAGGUAAAGAGAGAAAGCAUUAUUAUUGUCACUUACGUUGAAGGCAAUAAAGCCCAGAGCCGUUGGGAUGAGUUGCCCAAGGUCACACAGAUGGUGUGUGGCAAACAACCGAGAUCUUCUGAUUCUAAAAGUCUGGUUAUCAGAGAGUUCUAGUCCCUGUUCUGGUUACAUUUGUCAUUAUAAAUUGAAACUUCUGGAUUUGGUGAAUGAAAGGCAACCUGAGAGACCCAUCCCCUCGCGGUGUGCUAUUGAAGGAUUUCUGGGCCUGCGAGGAGGAAAACUAGACCUUGCUGAAAUUCACCAGCAGGGUGCAGUUCACCCAGUGAGACCUUUCGGGGCAGAGCCUGCCAGCGUCUUCGGAAGGAAAUGCCCCUCGACACUAACUUUACUGUGUGCUGGAAUUUUGAAACAUCUUAAUCUACCUUGUGUAGUUUGGAGAAUUAAAGGCAAAAUAAGUGAAUCAACUGGAAUUAAAUAAACUUAACAAA